rnacentral:lncRNA from 1 species
AUGAGGAAUGGUUGGGUUACAGUAAUAUUUCCAUGGUCAAAUGAAGUGUAUAUUGGAGAACAAUUAAUUCAAUGUUUUGCAGUGACAUGUAGGCUCGUCUCCUUCAUGAAGGUGUAAGAAGCAGCAAAACACAGGUAUCAUCAUCUCAUCACACAACCAAGCAUGUCCUCGAAUAAUUUAUUGGGUUUAAAGGUGAUAUUUGCCCACAUUGUCUCUGAAAGCAUGAUAAGGACAUGAGUGAACCACCAACCAUCAGCAUCUCUACUCGAGGCUGAAACGAGACUAUAUGUCUUCGAUCAUAGGCUUCAUCUUUCUUUUCUCUGUCUUAGCUUUCUUCACAUACUUAGAGACUUCUAUGUAUGUUCCUUCGACAUGCUUUGCAUCGGGUGUCUUUUCUAGGUUCUCCAGCAAAGGCUUCUCCUUCUGCCCUAAGCUUGCUUAUUGCAGAUGCUAAUCUAUCGUCAGGUAAAUCCAAAGCUUUGGAUUCUGGCUUCUGUACCACCUCAGAAAAAGAUGUAAUAUGGACAGCGGGUGUCACAGCAUAAUCCUCGUUGUAUUUCGUUUUACAUUUGGUUGAAUAAGUAUCAAGUUUAUCAUUCACAUUGCGGGCAGAUGAAAGAUUCUUAUCGAAAUGUAGUUUCAGAAUCAUUUAAGUGCAAAGAUAUAUGUAUGUAUGUAUCUAUAGGCCCUUUUCAAUUUAUCUAGCAUCAUACUUUCCUGCAUUUCUCGACCGACAUCAUCAUUGGAGCCACUUAGCAGUUUGAUGUCCACUUCGUCAUACUUGCUAGAUUUCACUCCCCAUCUAUUUCCUAUUCCAUCAUUUUAUUUGAACAUCAUAACUUCGACCGUGAUCUCAGAAGAUUUUACUAGGGCAGAAGAUGGACAUGCUUCAGAAAUAGUGAAAUCUGGGAUCAUUUUCCUUAUCCUUUUCCUUUGCAUGCCUCUCGUUAGCAAUAGUUUCCUAAUUAUCAGAACCUAUGUCAUGACAUUUGAUCCCAUAAUCAUCCUAUGAGAUAGUUUGUAUAGAUCUAUAAAAAUUGAUAUGAUCAUAACUUUUAUGUCAUACCGUUGAUUCAUCAAUUCCAGUAGCACUACAAAGAAAUUCAAAGAUAAUAAGGAAUAAAUUUUAUUUUUUAUCAUCCUCUAUCAAUUUUUUUUAAUUUUUUUUAUCAUAAAUCAAGUAUUUUUUACAUAAAAAAUAACAUAAUAUACUUUUUCUCAUCAGUUGUCCUAUACCGACAAGAUUUUAUUUUAAACUAAGAAUAAAUAUUAAAUCAUUAAUAAUAAUUUUUUUAUCAAAUUUAGUAUUCACGAUAAUUAUUUGUUUUUCUUUAACUUAAACCUUGCUAUUAUUUCUCAUGCACUAUAAAUCUAAAUGAAUCAUCAAGUCCUUGAAAUAAAUUGUUGUCUCCUAUCAUAUAAUUACUAAGCAGAUAUAUAAUUCUUCAUCAGAUGCUAUAAAGAAAAUAUUUUUUUCAUCCUUUUUUUACUAUUAUUUUCCUCAUAAUAAUUUGUGUGAUUUUUAUUCCAAUAAUCUUUUUAAAGACGAUCAUAUUUUUUAGAAUAAGAAUAGAGAAGAAUAUUUUGAUUUUUAUUUUAAUACCAAUAAUUUUGUUUUCAAUUGUCUAUUUGUUUAUAGUAAAAAUAUUGACGAGUUUCUUUGUUACCGAGUUCUUCUAACCCUCAUUUGAUCAAUCGCGAUCUCUAUUUUUUUUAUCUUUCCAUUAAGAUCUAGCUUUUGAAUUUUUCAUUUGAAAAAGCAUGUUUUGAAGUUUUAUACGAAGAUCUAUUCACUUUUUGUUUAUGAACUAAGAGGGAGCUCAUUAAUUCAUCAACUGAUAAUGUACUUAUAUCCUUAGCUUCUUCUACAAUUAUAAAAAUUAUAUCAAAUUUUGGAGAUAAACUCCGUAAAACUUUUUAUAAUACAAUUUAACCAUAAGAUCUCAUUUGGUUCACAAUAAAAAAGACUUUCAAGAAAAAACUAACGAUAAAUUUAGAAUAUUUCAUCAUAAAAGUUUCAAAUUUAUGUAGAACUAUUUGAAGCUUUAAACUUUUUACUUUGUUUGUGCCAUCAAACAUACUUUUUAAUAUCUUCAUAGGCCUCUAUUAAUGUUGAUGUCAUGAUUCUAGCAAAUAAGAAUUCAUUGAUGUAGUAUGAAGAGAACUAUUGCAUCCUUUUACAUAUUUUUAUUCAUUUGAUUUUUUUGAUCCUCAGUAAUAUUAGGAUCUUGUAGAUCAUACUCAAUAAAAUCAUCUUUUACUAAAUUCUAUAAUAUUUAUGAAAUAAAUAAAAUUUUCAUGUUAAUAGUCCAAAAUUAAUAAUUAUCACUUUUGAAGAUAAGAAAAAUUAAAUUAGAAAUACUUAUUUCAAUAUCUACCUUUUUUAUCUAUUUUUUUAUUUAAUAAUAAAAAUUAAAUUUAUGGUGUAUUUUGAUAUUACAAAUCAAGUUUUAUGACUAUGAAAUUUCAUCUCAUGACUUAAUGUGAUAGACUUAAUUAUUAUGUCGUUGAAAAUAUUUUAUGAUAGAUGCACUCAAUUUCUUCGAAUCAGACUCAUACUAUAUUUGUUAUGCUGGUUUUUCUAUAAAAAUUCAAGGAGAAAAAAAAGAGAAUAGUAGAAAAAUGUAGGAGUAUUGGAUUGAUCCAAAAAUACCUAUUUAUAUUGAUCAAAAGAUAGAGUAUAAUUUUUAAAAUAAUAAAAUAAUUUAUCAUAUCUCAAUAAAUAUUCUCACUAUCAUCUAUUUAUUUUAAUAUAGAUUUUAAUUUUUUAUUUUAUCUAAUCCUAAUUAUUUGAAUUAUUCUUAUCAAAACUGUUCCACGCUCUUCAACUUCCCAUUGCUGAUGAGCUACAGAACCCAUCAAAGCAGGCGAAUGAAGAAGUCCAAUUCAAGUAGUAAGCAGUCAGAUUUUAGAUACCUGCAGG